rnacentral:rRNA from 1 species
CCCUACUCUCUGUUGCUAGUCAGGUAAUGCUGGGCACUCUGAGGGAACUGCCGGUGACAAACCGGAGGAAGGUGGGGACGACGUCAAAUCAUCACGGCCCUUAUGUCCAGGGCUACACACGUGCUACAAUGGCCGGUACAAAGAGUUGCGAGACCGCGAGGUGGAGCUAAUCUCAGAAAACCGGUCUCAGUUCGGAUUGGAGUCUGCAACUCGACUCCAUGAAGUUGGAAUCGCUAGUAAUCGUGGAUCAGCACGCCUACGGUCGAAUACGUUCCCGGGCCUU